UACGGGAGGCAGCAGUGGGGAAUAUUGCACAAUGGGCGCAAGCCUGAUGCAGCCAUGCCGCGUGUAUGAAAAAGGCCUUCGGGUUGUAAAGUACUUUCAGUCGUGAGGAAGGUGUUAAGGUUAAUAACCUUAGCAAUUGACGUUAGCGACAGAAGAAGCACCGGCUAACUCCGUGCCAGCAGCCGCGGUAAUACGGAGGGUGCGAGCGUUAAUCGGAAUUACUGGGCGUAAAGGGCACGCAGGCGGUUAAUUAAGUUGGAUGUGAAAUUCCCGGGCUUAACCUGGGAAUGGCAUUCAAGACUGGUUAGCUAGAGUCUUGUAGAGGGGGUAGAAUUCCAUGUGUAGCGGUGAAAUGCGUAGAGAUGUGGAGGAAUACCGGUGGCGAAGGCGGCCCCUGGGACAAAGACUGACGCUCAUGUGCGAAAGCGUGGGGAGCAAACAGGGAUUAGAUACC
rnacentral:rRNA from 1 species